CUUGACUUCAUGGGCAACCCUGGGAGCACAGCUUCACUGGCUUUUUCUCUGGUCCCUGAGCAUAUCCUUUGGGAGAUCUGACCUGAGUCCUUCAUGCCACGAGAGGAACCAUUUCUCUCCAGUCUGUCAGGAAGAGGGGUGGCAAGCCUUCCUAUCCUGUGACGGACACAGAAGUCUAUUUAUAGUGCAGGGGGAAAUGCAGGCAGUGGGUGCAGCAGGGCAGUGGUGACCAUGCACUCUCUACCCAGAUUGCCAUGCAAUCACUGUGGAAUAUCAAGGUGGCAGUACUGGUCAAGCCAGAGCACGAGAACCGUAUCAGCCACGUCAGUACGUCCAGUGUGAAGACUGGCAUCGCCAACACCCUGGGGAACAAGGGGGCUGUGGGCGUCUCCUUCAUGUUCAAUGGCACCUCAUUUGGCUUUGUGAAUUGUCACCUCACCUCGGGAAAUGAGAAGACGGCUCGGUGAGGGGCACCUUUCCUAUGGUCUCUUUACACCCAUCCCAUUCACCUGAGGCAUGUUCCUGCUCCCAUAUCCCAGCCCAUGA
rnacentral:sRNA from 1 species